rnacentral:lncRNA from 1 species
CCCCUAUUCCCUUUUGCCUUUCCAUCCCCAUCCUCCACGGCUCUACGGCGGCUGCCCUGCUGCUUCACCUCCCCCUCCUCGGCGAGGCGCCUCACGAGUGCCGCGAGGUCAGCGCGGGCGUCGCGAGGGAGGUGGCCAAUACGGCGAGGCGCCGUGCCCGCAUGAGCACCGCGAGGUCAAAGGGCUACAGCGGCCAAUAGGGCGAGGCGCAGCGACAUCACCGGCUCCGCGAGGUCCAGGGGCGGAAGCGGUCAAUACGGCGAGGCGGUGCCUGUCCGGCGGCGUACGGGCUCCGGCGUGUGCUCGACACGACCUUGCUCCUGCGCCUCCUACCUGGGCCGGACCUCGCGCCGCGUGUCGACCACACCCGCAUCACCAAGCUAACCAACGGCGUCCGCGUCGACUCCGAGGAUGUCCCGGUACUACCCACCUCUCCCUCCCCUCUUCCUUCCGAUGAGUCCAUGGCUGCCAGCGGCCACCGUCUCCGAGCUCACGAACACCCAGAUUUGACAGGGAGCAGCACAGGGAUGUCGAUUUUGGCAGCUCUGCUCUGAUAAUGGCGUCAGAGUACAAGUUGCUAGUUUUCAGCAUGAGGAGGGAGAAGAUGAUUUAAAUGUUUUGGAAUGACUAAUCCAGUGAGGAUGGUGGAGAAGAAAAUAGAAGGAGUGUGUAUGUCAAAACUGAAGAAAAGCAGACCACCUUGGUGGCUCUGUUCUCACAAAAGAAGAUUGUUUACUGUUUCACACAAAAUCAGAUUUUUUGCCAGCAACUCAUCCACCUUGGUCUCAUCUUUCGUUGACGGCGGAGCACCACGUAGCAGUAUCUCUGCGAAAAUCCAUAGAAGUAUCGGAACCGGCUGUGGAUAUGGGAAAAAGAAAAUCCCUAAAUGUAUCUCUGAAACAAUGGCAUUUUUAAAGUGAAUGAACUAAGACUAGCAGUUCAUUUUAAUUCUGUUGUGGGAAUCUAUUUUGGAACUCAAUUCUGAACACUUUUCAAAGAGAUAGCAGCUGCCACUGUUUCAAGAAUGUACUAAUUCUCUGAAAAUCGCUUUGUUUUUCUGUAGCAAGUUGUCGUAUGAAUUCUGACAGAAAACUGUCAUUUGUUCAAGAAGGAAUUAUUUUCUGAAUCUUUUUUUGUAUUUCUGUAGCAAUUUAUUGUAUGAAUUCUGAACACUGUGCAAGGAAAUCAGCAGCUGCCAUUGUUCAGAGAAUGAGCUAAAUCUCUGAAAAUCGCUUUUGUUUUUCUGUAGCAAGUUAAUGUAUGAAAACUGAAUAUUGUUCAAAGAAAUCAGCAGCUGCCAUUAUUUUUACAUCAGUUUACCCCCUCUUAGUAGAAAGGAACAACUCAUUUCUCUCGCUACUCCUAAUUUUUUGUUGUGCUUUUCUGUAGGAGGAGAAAUUCAUCAUCAGAUCACAAGAACCACAGAACAGCAAGGGUGAUAUUCAGGUUGACAUAUUUCCAUAGACAACCUAACCUGUACAGGGAUGAGUAAGAGAUGAAAAACUUCAAUUGAAAGCACCGCAAAGGUGUCUAAGCAAUGGUAACAUCAUUUGAAGAACAUCCCUUUCCUUCCCCUGAUUUAUCGUAGGUUAAUAACUUACAGCGUAAAUGUCAAUAACUUACAGCAUAAUUAUCUUUUUAUAGGCAGUCUUUCACACUAAAACGACAACACAGGCCUUACAAGAUACUUCCUUUUUUCGUACACUGUUCUUCCUGCUAGUAUCAGGUUCAGUAACAUACACACAAGUAAAAAUGCUCAUCGUUUCUCUCUGCGUCCACCAUGCAAAAAAAGAAGUGCCCCAAGAAGAUAAUUGCCUCCAUUUCUUUUCCCAUAGCAUCCUAUGCGCGUUGUAGCUCUCUAGUCCAGCCCACGACGCCGCGUUAUGUCGCCUGUUUUUGGAGGACAGAUAAAGGGAAUUAGUCCCUUCUGCUUUCUAUAUAAGAAAAUAUGAUAGCCAUAAUAAAUCCUAUAAGAUUAACACUGCUAGUCCAGAAAAUUUAAGCAUUACUGGGUUAUUUUGGGGGCAUUGUGGCUUUUUAUGGCCUGGCAGCCUGCACUUGGAACACUUCCUUGCUGCUUUUUGUUUCUUAAGCUUAUCAGAAGCCUUUUCAUACAUGGUCUUUGGCCUAUCACCAAGUUUGAAACCUUUUGUGCGUGACAGCGGGGGGUCUCUCAAACCAAAUGUUUGAUGCACCUCAACGCCACCCAUGCUAGACGCACCAAUGGUAGACACAAUGUUUUGAUGCACCUGCAUAGGGAUGUGCAGGUCGCCAUCCCCCUCCUGCCUGGCAUCAACAUUCAGCUGCUGAGGAUCAUCAAUACACCGUCGCUUCCCACCUGAGAGUUGUUGUUCUUGGCGGAGCCGCUUGUCUAACCUGACUUUGUUUAUUGCCUCACCGAUUCCUUCCACGAACAGGUCGUAUGACCUGUCGUCCGUGCAUUCGUUUGACAAUGCGUCGGACACCUGGCUCAUGACUAUAGAAUGCCUGACUGUCAAGUGUGUUCUCUGUCCAUUUUGACCAACAUUUCCAUCCGUCAUCAUAGCUAACACAUGCCCUGCAGCUACUGUCCACCUAGGAUUUAUAAAGCUUUCAGGGAGGCUACUCAACCCAAUGUGUCUUGCUACCGCUAGGACGUGGCAGCAAUGCAUACCGUCCCGACUGAACUUGGAACAUGAGCAGCGGUAGACAUCAUCAGGUGAUAUUGACACAGUGUAUAUCCUCUUUGAAAACUCUGCGUCCUGGUAUUUGCCCCGCCUUGUCACCAGAAAUGUUCUUGUUUCGCCAGCAGCAGCAACGACCUCAACUCUGUAAGCUGUGGUUUUUUUCAUCUCUUCCACAAAUUUGGCGUAUAUUGGUGGUGUGUAUAUCUUUGCAGCCUCUCUUUCCAUAGGGUCGUAACUCCAGUAACGUUGUUCUCUCAGUUCUGAUUUCUCUCUCAGUCGAUCAAGGUCGCUAUGCUUCUUUUCCUGCACAAUCUGGUACUGGUUGAAAAACGUCGCAAUCGAGUCUUUUCGGAGGACGUAGCCUUUGAACAGAGAGUUGGUGCUCUCGCUCCUCCCAGUUGAUGACGUGAAUGGGAAAAAUUUGUCCAUGUAGUACGCAGGGACCCACUCAUCUCUGAUUUCAAACAACCGCUUUAGGUGGGUUUCAUCCUGAGCAUCAUGCUUCUCCAACAGAGCGUGCCAUCCGCUCUCAAACUCUUCAGGCGUGAACGAGUUCCUGAUUAGGCUCCGGAGCUCUGCAUGCAAAGUUCCUCGGGCAGCAAAGAAAGUGACUAGUUUCUGUUUCAUUUUCCUCUGGAUGUGCCAGUUGCAGAAGCGGUGGGUUGAGUGCAACAUGACAGCACGUAUAGCAUUCCGCAUUGCGACAUCCUGGUCUGUUAUUAUGGUUUCCGGGUGCAGACCCCCCGUCGACCUCAGAAAUGCUCGAAACAGCCACCUGAAUGUGUCUUCCUUCUCAUCCUUUAACAAUGCCGCACCAAACAGGACAGUCUUUCCAUAGUUGUCCACACCAACCACAGGGGCAAAUGGCAUAUUGUACUGGUUUGUGGAAUAGGUGGUAUCAAAAGAGACAAACUGCCCAAACUGGCUGUAGUUUGCUCUACCGAUCUGAUCUGUACACUUCUAACGGUGUUGUGUGCGUCGACCUGGAGCUGGUAACUGAAACCUGGCAUCUUAUCCUCAACGCUCUUGAAAAUUUUCAGCAGCUCCUCAAUGUCUUUGUUCUUGUGUUUAAGUCUUUUCUUUGCAUUGCGGUUGCUCAGAUACUUAGCAUCAAAAGGUACUCCUCUGAAGCUCCCCAUCAUCCUCCUGAAUAUGGUCAUCACUUUCCUGGGGGGCACUCUGCUUUCUUGAAGAAUGUCAAUCAAUGCCUUGUCAGAUUCAGACAUCCUUUUGUGGCACUUCAUAAACCUAACCAGCCACUCACUGGGAGCCAGCUCAUGAUUGUGCUGAAGCUUUGUGGAUUUUAUAACCCAUCGUCCAGAUUCCUCCUUCACUAUUAUCUUAACUGGGCACAUUGUCCUGUUGAUUCUGGAAGUCAUCCUCUUCCUCAGCGCAGAAUCGUUGCACGCAUUCGCCCGACUCCGGUUACAGCUGAAUGACUGCUUGUUUAUGUGCUUUGAAACCCUCGACUCAUAUGUGGUGUCCCUUUUUACCGCAAAACCCAUACGCCGGGCAUAUGAGGCGAAAAAGAAGAAUGCUUGGUCCCUCGAAUCGAACUCAAGACCUGGCUCCGGCGCAGGAGCUUCCAUGAUUUCCCGGACAGAUGGAUAAUCACCAUUACCAAACAUUCGGUCCAUAUCAUGUUCCUCGGCUGUCGGGGGCUCAGGUUCAAGUGCACUUUGAAGCUCUGGGUCUGCAGCCACACCAUCAGUCUGUUCAACACCAUCCAGCACCGAAUCUCCCUGGUCCGUGGCUACAGCUGCACGAUCCACCGGAGUCGGGCCUUGCUGCGCCUGGUGGACUGCGGAAGCAACGUAUCCACCCUCAGCAAGCUCAUCUUCAUGUAUAUCCAUAACCUGGGAAAAACAUACAGAUGCAAUUCCUUUUUUCUGUAAGUAUUUUUCUCUUUUUGGUUAUUUUUAGAUAGGUACACCUCACAAACUUGUGCAUUUUUCAAAACAUCCCAUAAGAGUCAUAGUUUCCUUUUCUUCAUACCUCAUUCAAGUCGAAGAGUGGUGGCUGCCUUUGCUCAUGUGACUCUGUUGUAUCCAUGUCGAGAACAUCAUCAACCCAAGUGCCUGCUGCAUCGGGACCAUCCUCAUAUGCAUCAAUAGCCUGGGGGCGGCACAUAGAAAAGCAUUUGUGUUUAUAAGCUCCUCAUUUUUAUCUCUUUUUUGCUAGUAAACAACAUGCAUGCAACUUGUGUUUGUUCAUCAAACCAUAGGUAUCUAAGUCAUGUUUCUUUUGUACCUCGUUUAAAUCAAACAGUGCAGGUUCUUUAUGCUCAUGAGGAUCUGUUCCCGCGAAAGCCCCUGGCCCCGCCAUGCCAAAAGCAAUAUUAGCUGAAUGACUCGCCGAAUUUAUGGUAGCCUCAACUGCCGCAAGCUCUUGAAUAUUCUCUUGCUCCUCUCUAGCGCGACGCCUCUGCACAAAUGACUUUUUUGUGUUCCAUGAGAGGGAACGGGGAGGAGGGGAGUGGCAGAGUUAGCAUUUUUCUACUUAUUGAACCUCUUGCUUUUUGCUACAAAGAAUUAUUAAAGAGAGAGGGGGUUGGGGGUGAUACCUGUGUAAAUCUUUCCAGUAAAACGUGCAUUGGCAUGCUUGAUGAACCAGCAUUCAUCAUUUCUCUUACUAGCGGAGAGAUCACACCAGCACUGGUCAUCUGAAAAGGAAGAAAAAAGAAAUGCAAAUUAGAACAGUCACUUGUCUUUUUCCUGCAAAAUCAUAAAUGUGCAUUGUUCGAAGUCACAUAUCCAGUUCAUUUCUUCUUUUAAUAUUUUUUCCGCUUACAUACUAUAUAUAUUUCCUACAGAUAGAAAGAAUCCUCAAGAUCCCGGUGCAUUCUUUUUUGCUGUCGAAACUGAAGAAAGAGAGUGCCAGACAACAUCCUGUGUUCAUUUUCUUUUUAAUUUUCUUCCAUGAGAAUCAUGGUUCUGUAAACACAGCAGCAGUUUCAAAAUGGCUCAAAAAGUACAAUGCAUUCUUUGUCAUGUAACAACGUUCCUAAGCUAUUAUUGAAUGAUCACGGUUUUUUUCAACACGUCCUGGACUUUACAUUUGAUAUAUACAUCAAGUUUCUGGGACAAAAAACCAUCAUGGACAACAUAUUUUUUUGCUC